rnacentral:rRNA from 1 species
UACGAAGGGGGGCUAGCGUUGCUCGGAAUCACUGGGCGUAAAGGGUGCGUAGGCGGGUUUUUAAGUCAGAGGUGAAAUCCUGGAGCUCAACUCCAGAACUGCCUUUGAUACUGAAAGUCUUGAGUAUGGGGAGAGGUGAGUGGAACUGCGAGUGUAGAGGUGAAAUUCGUAGAUAUUCGCAAGAACACCAGUGGCGAAGGCGGCUCACUGGCCCAUAACUGACGCUGAGGCACGAAAGCGUGGGGAGCAAACAGGAUU